rnacentral:rRNA from 1 species
UACGUAGGGUGCAAGCGUUAAUCGGAAUUACUGGGCGUAAAGCGUGCGCAGGCGGCUAUGCAAGACAGAUGUGAAAUCCCCGGGCUUAACCUGGGAAUGGCAUUUGUGACUGCACGGCUAGAGUGUGUCAGAGGGGGGUAGAAUUCCACGUGUAGCAGUGAAAUGCGUAGAUAUGUGGAGGAAUACCGAUGGCGAAGGCAGCCCCCUGGGAUAACACUGACGCUCAUGCACGAAAGCGUGGGGAGCAAACAGG